GACGAACGCUGGCGGCGUGCUUAACACAUGCAAGUCGAACGAAGUGGCGAACGGGUGAGUAACGCGUAAUCAACCUGCCCUUCAGAGGGGGACACCAGUUGGACACGACUUCUAAUCCCGCCUUCUGAAGACGGGGAUUGCGUCUGAUUAGCUAGUUGGGGGGGUAACGGCCCACCAAGGCGAUGAUCAUUAGGCGGUCUGAGAGGAGUAACGGCCACACGGGGACGGAGACACGGCCCAGAAUCCUACGGGAGGCAGCAGUGGGGAAUCUUCCGCACUGGACGAAAGUUUGACGGAGCAACGCCGCGUGAGUGAUGACGGCCUUCGGGUUGUAAAGAUCUGUUAAUCGGGACGCGGUACCGGAAUAGAAAGCCACGGCUAACUACGUGCCAGCAGCCGCGGUAAUUC
rnacentral:rRNA from 1 species